rnacentral:rRNA from 1 species
UGGGGAAUCUUCCGCAAUGGACGAAAGUCUGACGGAGCAACGCCGCGUGAGUGAUGACGGUCUUCGGAUUGUAAAGCUCUGUUAAUCGGGACGAAUGGUUUGUGUGCAAAUAGUGCAUAGACAUGACGGUACCGGAAUAGAAAGCCACGGCUAACUACGUGCCAGCAGCCGCGGUAAUACGUAGGUGGCAAGCGUUGUCCGGAAUUAUUGGGCGUAAAGCGCGCGCAGGCGGACUAGCCAGUCAGUCUUAAAAGUUCGGGGCUUAACCCCGUGAUGGGAUUGAAACUACUAGGCUAGAGUAUCGGGGAGGAAAGUGGAAUUCCUAGUGUAGCGGUGAAAUGCGUAGAUAUUAGGAAGAACACCAGUGGCGAAGGCGACUUUCUGGACGAACACUGACGCUGAGGCGCGAAAGCCAGGGGAGCGAACGGG